rnacentral:rRNA from 1 species
UACGUAGGGUGCGAGCGUUGUCCGGAAUUAUUGGGCGUAAAGAGCUUGUAGGCGGUUUGUCGCGUCUGCUGUGAAAAUCCGGGGCUCAACUCCGGACUUGCAGUGGGUACGGGCAGGCUAGAGUGUGGUAGGGGAGACUGGAAUUCCUGGUGUAGCGGUGGAAUGCGCAGAUAUCAGGAGGAACACCGAUGGCGAAGGCAGGUCUCUGGGCCAUAACUGACGCUGAGAAGCGAAAGCAUGGGGAGCGAACAGG